rnacentral:rRNA from 1 species
GUUUUACCUUGACGAAUUGUAGUUUAAAGAAGUGCUUUCUGUUGAAGUUUUGGUAAAAGUUCUUUGGAAUAGGACAUCAUAGAGGGUGAGAAUCCCGUAUUUGACCAUUAUUUUCAGCUGUGUGAUACACUUUCAAAGAGUCGGAUUGUUUGGGAAUGCAGUCCAAAAUGGGUGGUAAAUUUCAUCUAAAGCUAAAUAUUGGCGAGAGACCGAUAGCGAACAAGUACCGUGAGGGAAAGAUGAAAAGAACUUUGAAAAGAGAGUUAAACAGUACGUGAAAUUGUCAAAAGGGAAGCGUUUGACACCAGUGUUGUUUUCUCGAAAAUCAAUUAAAAAAAGUUGGAUUUUGUGUUGUAUUGACCUUAACAGCUUUCUGCACUCUUUUCCUGCUUUUUUU